GUGGGGAAUCUUGCGCAAUGGGCGAAAGCCUGACGCAGCCAUGCCGCGUGAAUGAUGAAGGUCUUAGGAUUGUAAAAUUCUUUCACCGGGGACGAUAAUGACGGUACCCGGAGAAGAAGCUCCGGCUAACUUCGUGCCAGCAGCCGCGGUAAUACGAAGGGGGCUAGCGUUGCUCGGAAUUACUGGGCGUAAAGGGCGCGUAGGCGGACAGCUUAGUCAGAGGUGAAAGCCCAGGGCUCAACCUUGGAAUUGCCUUUGAUACUGGCUGUCUUGAGUUUGGGAGAGGUGAGUGGAACUCCGGGUGUAGAGGUGAAAUUCGUAGAUAUUCGGAAGAACACCAGUGGCGAAGGCGACUCACUGGCCCAAUACUGACGCUGAGGCGCGAAAGCGUGGGGAGCAAACAGGAUUAGAAACCCGUGUAGUCC
rnacentral:rRNA from 1 species